rnacentral:rRNA from 1 species
ACGGAAGGCAGCAGUGGGGAAUAUUGCACAAUGGGGGAAACCCUGAUGCAGCGACGCCGCGUGAGUGAAGAAGUAUUUCGGUAUGUAAAGCUCUAUCAGCAGGAAAGAAAAUGACGGUACCUGACUAAGAAGCCCCGGCUAACUACGUGCCAGCAGCCGCGGUAAUACGUAGGGGGCAAGCGUUAUCCGGAUUUACUGGGUGUAAAGGGAGCGUAGACGGCUUUGCAAGUCUGAAGUGAAAGCCCGGGGCUCAACCCCGGAACUGCUUUGGAAACUGUAGAGCUAGAGUGCAGGAGAGGUAAGUGGAAUUCCUAGUGUAGCGGUGAAAUGCGUAGAUAUUAGGAGGAACACCAGUGGCGAAGGCGGCUUACAGGACUGUAACUGACGUUGAGGCUCGAAGGCGUGGGGAGCAAACAGGAUUAGAUACCCUGGUA